UAGAGCUUGAUCAUGGCUCAGAUUGAACGCUGGCGGCAGGCCUAACACAUGCAAGUCGAGCGGUAGAGAGAAGCUUGCUUCUCUUGAGAGCGGCGGACGGGUGAGUAAUGCCUAGGAAUCUGCCUGGUAGUGGGGGAUAACGUUCGGAAACGGACGCUAAUACCGCAUACGUCCUACGGGAGAAAGCAGGGGACCUUCGGGCCUUGCGCUAUCAGAUGAGCCUAGGUCGGAUUAGCUAGUUGGUGAGGUAAUGGCUCACCAAGGCGACGAUCCGUAACUGGUCUGAGAGGAUGAUCAGUCACACUGGAACUGAGACACGGUCCAGACUCCUACGGGAGGCAGCAGUGGGGAAUAUUGGACAAUGGGCGAAAGCCUGAUCCAGCCAUGCCGCGUGUGUGAAGAAGGUCUUCGGAUUGUAAAGCACUUUAAGUUGGGAGGAAGGGCAGUUACCUAAUACGUAAUUGUUUUGACGUACCGACAG
rnacentral:rRNA from 1 species